rnacentral:tRNA from 1 species
GCGAUGGUAGUGUAGUGGUUAGCAUCCCGACUUCCCAAGUCGGUGACCCGAGUUCGAAUCUCGGCCUUCGCA